UGAAUAUUUUGUUGUGGGCUUGGGGAAUUCUUAAGAUGGAUUAGUCAGCUAACAUCAGGUACAAAGUUGGCCCCAGAUUUAAUGAACUUUGCUUAUGUCGAAUAUACCAAAAUCCAUGGAAUUAGCCAAAUCUCUGCUAAUUUGAAGCACCUGGGAUCUCUCCUGUCCGUAUGUUUUCACUUAAGGGCCAAUUUGCUCUAGAAGAGCUCAAACAAAAGUUCUAAAACAUAUUGCCACAAUGUCACACUUAACCAAUUGGCAUGCACUUAAGCAGCAUGCAGACAUUUCCAGUGAUAUGUGUAAAUCCUGUAUGAACAGUGUCAGCUGUUGACAAAUAAGGUGAUUCAGUCCGGGCAGAAAGCAGGCGUACAUGCCACACUGGCUGCGUCUGGGUUAGUGGGGAGGGAAAAUGCACAGCGCUCAAGGGCUCAGAGCAACAAGAGCUGCAUGAAAGCACCUUGUUUAAAUGGCAGCAGUGUUCUGGGCACCAAAGCUGCUCAGAUUUGAUUCCUCAUCUGCAAAUAAGUCAUCAUACCGAUGGAGGAUGGCUCCUAUCUGCUUGUAACUUUAUCCCUCCUGUCUCUUAGGUGCCCAGAUGAGAGGAGGUACUUUCCAGUGUCGUUGCUGGCAUUCUACCAGCAGCUCGAGGCCCUGUUGGUCUAGAGAAUGCUGGCGACAAUAGCUGCAUUGUGGCAGUCCCGUGCUGACAGUGCAGGGUGGCCUUCACACUUCAAAUGAGGGAUCAACAUGAGCAUAACUAAUGGAGCCAUCAAAGACACUCUAGACUGGGAAGAUCAGACUCUGCACUGCGUUUAUUUCUGGACCUCACAUCUGUUGUAGUAUCUGCCGCAUGACAGGAGCUCAGGACAGUCUUUAUGACCAGAAGAAUGAAUGAAUAAACAUGUGAAUGAAGAAGGAGGCUGCCACGGAGAAAACACAAAAGCUUUCCACUACUCAGUAUUUUGAAACACGAAAAAACUUCACCAUACUUUACAUUGUUGUUAAAUUGUGGCAAAAUAUAUACAACAUAAAAGGUACAGUCUUAACCACCGCUAGAUGUACAGUUAAGUGGCAUUAAGUGUAUUCACACUGUUUUGCAAACAUAACCACCAUCCGGCUCCAUUACUUUUGCAUCAUCCCAAAUUGAAACUCUGUCCCCAUUAAACGCUAACUCCCCAUUUCCGCCACUGCAGCCCCUGGCAACCAUGGGACCUUGAGUUGGUUCCAGCUUUUGGCUAUCGUGAAUAACGCUGCUAUGAACAUAGGUGCACAAAAGUCCGUUCCUGACCCUGCUUUCUGUGCUGUUGGGUACCUACCCAGAAGUGGGAUGACUGGAUCAUCCAGUAAUUCUACACUGAGUUUUUUAACUGCCCUUUGACACAGAGGCUGCACCGUUUCACAUUCCCACCAAUAACGCACCCAUUUCUCAACAUGAUUCCAAUUUCUCUGAAUCCUCACCACCACUUGUUGUUUUGGUGGUGGUGGUUUUUUUUUUUUAAAUAGUAGCCAACCUAAUUCUAUAGCCUAAUACGUGAGAAGUAGUAUCUAUCUCCCAGUAGUUUCAAUGUGUAAGUUUCUAAUGAUUAGUGAUACUGAAUGUCUUUUCAUGUGCUCACUGGCUAUUUGUUAUAAGUAAUAUUUUCGAUGAGGCCCUUAUGGUAGUCAGCCUAUAGGCGCUCGAACUUCUUGCUCAUACAAUUCAGGUUCUGCAUUGCUGCUCACCAUGGUUUGCAGCUGGCAUGCAUUUGCAUGGUUGACCAGUUGUCAGCCUGGUGCUGGUGGUUUGCAUCUAUCUCACUGGAUUCUUGCCAAAUGGAGAGUGGCCACGCUGGCGUCCCCAUUGUAGAGAUGAUGCUGAGAUGCACUCAUGGACUUCGGCUAGAUAGCACCACUAGUUACUGGCCCAGCUGUAGUUCAACCCUGGGUGUCUAACGCUCACAUCAUCUCUCAGCGUGAAUGUGUGUUUACAGCGUUGAUAAACCACACAGACACUGACCAUGAAGAAAAAGCAAAACCGCUAAAUAAUUGAAUAUUCUUUAAUAUUACACUCAUCUUAAGUAAGAAGGAAUCCUGAAAAAGAAAUACAGAUUGCAGGUAAGCCUUUCAUCUCAGGGCGAUCUGAACAUGCUUUCUACCCUAGACACUUUAUUUUAUGCCUACACACAGCCCCAAAAAGUUAUUUAAGUUUUAAUACAGAUGGUCCUUCAGUUUGAUUUAUGCUAUUAAGUAAAAUGCUGUUAUGCAUAAAGGAGAAAAUAAAAGAACUAGUUAAGCACUUUUUUAUUAGCCUUCAGGCAUGUUCAUUAACUAUGCCGAGACUGUUUUGCGUAAUUUAUGCAUUUGUGCAUGUACAUAUAGUGCCAUAUAAAAUAGAUCAUUUACCCAAUAAAUAGGAGAAGUGUCAUCCCUCUCACUCGGCUGAGGAAUCUAUCAGUUUCUCUUAUAAAUCUAGGCUGCAUUUGCUGUGCAUGGGAAUGACCUUCCAUUAAGACGCAUACAUCUGGGCUUGGAAAAGGUCGAAGUGCCUUUUUAAGCAGAAAAUUACUGAAUCAAGAUCGUUAGUAGCUCUGAGUAAUCUUAUUAUUCAGCAUUCCCCUCCCCGCCUCCCCACACCGUCUUAGAAACUGCAUCAGGACUGAAAUCAGUUUCCUCGGCGGCUUCAUUCCUCACAUCUGCUGGUUGUGCAGCCUCCUUGCAUUCAGUCGACCUCAAGGACCAUAAAAAUAUUUACACAUUUUUACAGAUAUUUAAACACUCAGUACAAAUUUGUCCCAUUCAACUAAGGAAACCUCAGAUAAUUUCCAGAGAAGCCCAUCACAUGCAGCUUUCUUCGGACAUUCAGCAGCCAGUUCUCAGAUAGUCUGGAUUUGUUUGUGAAGUGGCUCCCUCCCUGAUGUUUGUGAGUGAGACUGAGUUAAUUCCAUUUAGACCGGAGACCGUUGUGUUUAGGGUGUCUCGUGAAUUGCGAACUGCACAGGGAGCUGAGCGUGGUAUCUCUCCACCUUCCUCCGCCCAGAGCCCUUGGCUAUGGCAAGACCCUGCACCAGGCCUCCCAGCUAGGGAAGCAGCAGCUCCGUGUGCUGUGCAUGUGGCUUCCUCGCUUCCUGGUGAGCACAUCCUCUUAUGGGCUUACUCAUUUCUGUCUGAGAAAAAUAAAUAAAAUACUAAAUAGCAUGAGAACAGCGAGACAUUCAUCUUGUUGUAGACAGUGAUCACACAGCCAGGAACUGGGGUGAGCAGGGACCUCAUUUCCAGACCCUCGGGAUGCCUGGAGGCGGCUGGACAGCACCGAGUUUCUUAGCAAAGUAGCUAUUGUUUAAAGAGCAAAAGGGCUACACAGGAAGGCAGCAGGCAGACUGGAAGAGCAGUGUCCACUUCACACAUAUCCCUGACACGCAGUGACCUUCCCGAAAAUGGGCUCCGUGUAUCGUCAGGUCUGGUGAGAUGAGGUGUCACCAGGUGUUCCAAAUCAAAAAUGCAUUUGUGCUGGGAAUGGGGGAGCUUUCUAAAGUCAGAUGCAUCUGUGACAUGGUGGAGGUUAAUGGUGUUGAACAGAGCUCUUCAAGAAAACUUGUCCCACCCCACACGUAACCCUGGCCACACACAGCCACUGAGCCAGGGUGUCUUGUGAAUCAUACGGGUUCGGAUUAAGAUGCUCAUAAGGCCAGGGUCAGUGGCUCAUACCUGUAAUCUCAGCUCUUUGGGUGGCCAAGGCCAGCCUGAGCAACAGACUGAAAGCUCAUCUCUACAAAAAAAUUGCUUUAAAAAAAGAUGCUCAUUAAAUGCAAAAACGGACACUGGAUUUCUUAGUCUUGAUGUGAAAAAAGGAGUCAAAAAUGCCUCAUUGAUGUGUUCCUACUGGUUACAUAGUAAAGUGAUAAGAUUUUGAAUGCACUGGGUUAAAUACACCAUUAAAAUUGAUUUUAUCUGUUCCCUUUUUACUUUUAUCAGUGUCGUUAUGAGGAGAUUUUAG
rnacentral:lncRNA from 10 species